rnacentral:rRNA from 1 species
UACGUAGGGUGCAAGCGUUAAUCGGAAUUACUGGGCGUAAAGCGUGCGCAGGCGGUUGUGCAAGACAGAUGUGAAAUCCCCGGGCUUAACCUGGGAAUGGCCUUUGUGACUGCAUAGCUAGAGUGUGUCAGAGGGGGGUAGAAUUCCACGUGUAGCAGUGAAAUGCGUAGAGAUGUGGAGGAAUACCGAUGGCGAAGGCAGCCCCCUGGGAUAACACUGACGCUCAUGCACGAAAGCGUGGGGAGCAAACAGG